ACCCGCUGAACUUAAGCAUAUGGAUGAUACAUUCAACGAGCCUAUCCUUGGCCGAGAGGUCCGGGUAAUCUUUGAAUCUGUAUCGUGAUGGGGAUAGAUUAUUGCAAUUAUUAAUCUUCAACGAGGAAUGCCUAGUAGGCGCAAUUCAUGAAAUUGCGCCGAUUACGUCCCUGCCCUUUGUACACACCGCCCGUCGCUCCUACCGAUUGGGUGUGCUGGUGAAGUGUUCGGAUUGGCGACCGUGUGCGGUUUCCGCGCUCGGCCGCUGAAAAGUUCAUUAAACCCUCCCACCUAGAGGAAGGAGAAGUCGUAACAAGGUUUCCGUAGGUGAACCUGC
rnacentral:rRNA from 1 species